GACGAACGCUGGCGGCGUGCCUAAUACAUGCAAGUUGAGCGAUGAAGAUUGGUGCUUGCACCAAUUUGAAGAGCAGCGAACGGGUGAGUAACGCGUGGGGAAUCUGCCUUUGAGCGGGGGACAACAUUUGGAAACGAAUGCUAAUACCGCAUAACAACUUUAAACAUAAGUUUUAAGUUUGAAAGAUGCAAUUGCAUCACUCAAAGAUGAUCCCGCGUUGUAUUAGCUAGUUGGUGAGGUAAAGGCUCACCAAGGCGAUGAUACAUAGCCGACCUGAGAGGGUGAUCGGCCACAUUGGGACUGAGACACGGCACAAACUCCUACGGGAGGCAGCAGUAGGGAAUCUUCGGCAAGGGACGAAAGUCUGACCGAGCAACGCCGCGGGAGUGAAGAAGGUUGUCGGAUCGUAAAACUCUGUUGGUAGAGAAGAACGUGGGUGAGAGUGGAAAGCUCAUCAAGUGACGGUAACUACCCAGAAAGGGACGGCUAACUACGUG
rnacentral:rRNA from 1 species